CGACGUUAGCCAUUUGCGAUCGCGCUUGACGCAUCGCCCGUGAAAAAAUCAAUUACGAUUUUUGAUAGCUCGGCUCCGGUGACCGCUGUGAUAGUGUGGAGAUCAACACUGUAAGUGGGGAGCGUGAACCGCAAAGCAAGCGUGACAGAACAAAGUUUGCGAACCGGAUUGCGCCGGUUCCGGCGGGAUUACGCCGGCGCGCAGCGGUUACAGCCGGCUAGAGCCAGUUAGUCAGGUGCACACCAUGAAAACUACUGAAUGAAAUUUGACGUACGCGGAUGAAGCAGUAAGCAAACUAAGAAAAUCUACAAUUUCCUUUAGCAGCUAAGCAUUCCAAAUAAAACACUUCAGGAAGGUCAAGAUCUAAAACAACAGCCAAAGUUUUAAUUUUUUUAAUAAAGAUUACCUGUAAGGAUAUUGGGAAGUGAAGUGAAAUAAAUAAAUAUUAAUUAGUAAAUUAAGCAGUGAGUUAAAAACAUUAUUCAAUGAGUCUUUUGAAAUAAACAUCAAUUUUAUAAUUUGUGAAUGUAUAUUAGAAUCCUAGUUUUAUUUGGUAUGUGUAAUUUUUAAUCUUUAGUAAGCAUAUAUAAGAAAUUUAAAUAGGUUUAAAAUUAGUAUAUCACAGCACUUAAUAUUGAAUUAAACAUCUUCAUUCUAAUUUAACACAAAUAUUUGAAUACAACAGCACGUUACAACAAAU